GUCCUACGGGGGGCAGCAGUGAGGAAUAUUGGUCAAUGGUCGGGAGACUGAACCAGCCAAGCCGCGUGAGGGAUGAAGGUACAGAGUAUCGUAAACCUCUUUUGUCAGGGAACAAAGGCGGGGACGUGUCCCCGGAUGAGUGUACCUGAAGAAAAAGCAUCGGCUAACUCCGUGCCAGCAGCCGCGGUAAUACGGAGGAUGCGAGCGUUAUCCGGAUUUAUUGGGUUUAAAGGGUGCGUAGGCGGUCCGGAAAGUCAGCGGUAAAAGCCCGGGGCUCAACCCCGGCGAGCCGUUGAAACUGUCGG
rnacentral:rRNA from 1 species